UUUGCUUAGACAUUUAGAAAAACAAAUAUUAUUGGAGUAUUUUAUUUUCCAUUUAAGAAUUAAGAUCAGUCACAAAAAUUAAUCAAAUUUUACUUUGAUAAAUUUCUUCUUCACUAACAAUACUGUAAAAGAUUAAUUACCAAGAUUAGUAGUAGUAGUUGAAGUAAGGAGUGUUACCAUGCUUGAUUUUAGAUUUUAUAUGGAGUAGUAAAAAUAUAUAUUUAUAGGAUUUGAUUUUAUUAUGCUAGAGACGUAAGCAAAAUGGCUUUCCCAUAUAAAUUACAUUCCGAAAAAAAAUGGAAGCUUGAAUCCAAAGACAGAAACCGACACGUAGCGGUGGUAUUCGAGAUUUCAUAGAGUAAAUACCGCCAUGCUGGCGACUGUGGACGUAGAUGAGACCGAUCUCAACGGCUGAGAUCGAUUGGCGUGACAAAGCAAGCUCAUCUGAUUCUCCACGAAGGCUUUUGUAGAUGUCAAAUACUCUAUUCUAACAAAUGAUAGAUGAAGGAGAUCGUGACAGCAGGAAUAAAAAAGCUUCAUCUAUAGGGGUAGCCAGACAGAGAGAAAGAGCUGAAUUAGAGGAUUUGUGGAAGAGGAGGAGCCCAUUUGGAGAGAGGAAAAGAUAUUUGGAGAAAAAGAUUGUUGUUUUAUCCGCUGGAUUCAUUCUGAAUCUUGAUUUCCGGCGAGCCUCUUCUUCUCCGGCAAGUUAUGCUGUAGCGACCUCUGAUGAGAUAUCUGAUUGGAUUUCUUCAUCUGGGUCAAGCUGAAAUUCUGAUUCUAUUCCAGUGAUGGACAGAAACAGAGAAGCCAGAAGAGCUAGUAUCGUCGGCUCCAAUGGCUGCAACCGCCGCCACCGAACCAACAGCCUCAGAGACUCUCCAGAUGAAGACGUGGAGUUGCAGGAAUCAGUGAGGUUAAGGGAUAGAGUGAAGAAAGAUCGGGAAAGAGGGAGAGGGAAAGGGAGAGGGAGAGAAAUUAGUCCAUAAAUAUGCAGAUUAUGUUGUGUCUUUAUAAAUGUCAUAAACUUGUCGUAUAAGCCAAUUUUUUCUACAUAUCAUUGGGCCAAUUUUUAUCCAAUAAUAUAUGCCUUUUUGUUUGCCCAAUAGAUAGUCUUCCCGCUCAAAAGUGUGCCACAUAGACUCCAAAAAACUGUCCCUUUAGAUAUUGAUAGAUUAGUACUAGUGUAACACUGUGCGAAUACCGGGACUAUUAAUUUAUUUUUAUAUUUAUUUAAAUUUAGAAAAA